GCACGGGGAGGUAGUGACGAAAAAUAACGAUACGGGACUCUUAUGAGGCUCCGUAAUCGGAAUGAGUACACUUUAAAUCCUUUAACGAGGAUCUAUUGGAGGGCAAGUCUGGUGCCAGCAGCCGCGGUAAUUCCAGCUCCAAUAGCGUAUAUUAAAGUUGUUGCGGUUAAAAAGCUCGUAGUUGGAUCUCGGUUUCACUCAGGCGGUACACCUUGCGGUGUUCACUGUCUGGGUGGACGUUUCUGUUGGUUCGCUCUUGGUGCUCUUCAUCGGGUGCCAUUUGGUGGCCAGCACGUUUACUUUGAAAAAAUUGGAGUGCUCAAAGCAGGCGUUACAGCCUGAACAUUAGUGCAUGGAAUAAUGGAAUAGGAUCUCGAUUCUAUUUCGUUGGCUUUCGGAGUCGAGGUAAUGAUUAAUAGGGACAGACGGGGGCAUUCGUACUGCGACGUUAGAGGUGAAAUUCUUGGAUCGUCGCAAGACGAACUACUGCGAAAGCAUUUGCCAAGAAUGUUUUCAUUAAUCAAGAACGAAAGUUAGAGGUUCGAAGGCGAUCAGAUACCGCCCUAGUUCUAACCAUAAACGAUGCCAACCGGCGAUCCGUCGUCGUUAAUUGAAUGACUCGACGGGCAGCCUCCGGGAAACCAGAGUGUUUGGGUUCCGGGGGAAGUAUGGUUGCAAAGCUGAAACUUAAAGGAAUUGACGGAAGGGCACCACCAGGAGUGGAGCCUGCGGCUUAAUUUGACUCAACACGGGAAAUCUCACCAGGCCCGGACACCGGAAGGAUUGACAGAUUGAGAGCUCUUUCUUGAUUCGGUGGGUGGUGGUGCAUGGCCGUUCUUAGUCGGUGGAGCGAUUUGUCUGGUUAAUUCCGAUAACGAACGAGACUCUGGCCUACUAACUAGAAGGUCUAUCCUUUAUGGGUAGGCCUCUGCUUCUUAGAGGGACGGGCGGCGUUUAGCCGCACGAGAAUGAGCAAUAACAGGUCUGUGAUGCCCUUAGAUGUUCUGGGCUGCACGCGCGCUACACUGAAGGAAUCAGCAUGUUCUCCCCUCCCUGAAAAGGGCGGGUAACCCGUUGAAACUCCUUCGUGAUGGGGAUUGGAGAUUGUAAUUAUUCUCCAUGAACGAGGAAUUCCCAGUAGGCGCGAGUCAUCAGCUUGCGUCGAUUACGUCCCUGCCCUUUACACACCGCCCGUCGCUACUACCGAUCGAGUGAUUUAGUGAGGACUUCGGACUGGUCUUCAAGUUGGCUUCGGUCGGCUCGAAGCUCCGGAAAGAUGCCCAAACUUGAUCACUUAGA
rnacentral:rRNA from 1 species